rnacentral:lncRNA from 1 species
GGCCUAUUGAUGCUGCCACCCCAGUUUGUGGAGGAAUUACAGAAGUAAAGGACUUUGCAAACAACCUUGUGAUCGACGAUCUCGCUCGAUUCGCCGUCGAUGAACACAACAAGAAGCAGAAUACCCUGCUGGAAUUUGGUAAGGUACUGGAUGCAAAGGAGCAGUUAGUAGCUGGUACAUUGUAUUUUAUCACACUUGAAGCAACUGAUGGUGGUGUCAAAAAGACUUACGAAGCCAAGGUUUGGGUUAAGGAAUGGGAAAACUUCAAAGAAUUG